rnacentral:lncRNA from 1 species
AACAUUGAUAAAAAGUAUUACAAGGUGAAGAAUAUGAAUCUUCAUACUCCUCACAUGUACUCUCAUCAUAGCUCUCAUAAGCUUUGCGAACAAAAGGGUUAUACCUAACACCAAAUCUAGGUUCGGAGUAAGAAGUGUAAGACUCCUCACAUGCCCCAACGUCAUCAUAAGAUCCAUCACGAGGUCCUACAUCAUCUCCAAAUUCACCAUAAGCACUAGACACUUCAUUCACCUCAUUUUCCC